AUUUUUAUAGUUUAUUAUAAAACAUUAUAUUUUCAUUAUAAAAAAAAUAAUUUUUUAUAAUUUAUUUAAAAAUA
rnacentral:tRNA from 1 species